UUUUUCCAGCUUGCUGUGUGUGAAGAAGCACAAAGAGGACUCGGGAUGUAGCGGAGUCAGAAACAAAACGGCAUUUGUGGCUUUGUCCCACUUUGAUGAAAUGACUCUUCUCAGUGAUUACAGAUUUCUGGAGGACACUGGGAGAUUUUCUGAUGGUGCCAGCAGAGACGGUCUGGUGAGAGCUCCUCGGACAACUUUUAAAAUAAAGUUACUGGCUGCUCAAGCCAGAAAGAUGAACAUCACUCUCAGGUUUCUUCCACUCACCUUCACUAAGAGAAGAGAAAACUCCACCAUCUUCAAUCC